rfam:Strigamia maritima strain Brora ctg7180001232074, whole genome shotgun sequence.
AUUUAGGCCCUUUUCAGGGCCUUCAAUUUUUAAUGUAAAGGGAAUU